AGGUAGUUGGUGAGGUAACGGCCCACCAAGCCGACGAUCGGUAGCCGACCUGAGAGGGUGAUCGGCCACAUUGGGACUGAGACAGGGCCCAAACUCCUACGGGAGGCAGCAGUGGGAAUAUUGGGCAAUGGAGGAAACUCUGACCCAGCAACGCCGCGUGGAGGAAGAAGGUUUUCGGAUCGUAAACUCCUGUCCUUGGAGACGAGUAGAAGACGGUAUCCAAGGAGGAAGCCCCGGCUAACUACGUGCCAGCAGCCGCGGUAAUACGUAGGGGGCAAGCGUUGUCCGGAAUAAUUGGGCGUAAAGGGCGCGUAGGCGGCUCGGUAAGUCUGGAGUGAAAGUCCUGCUUUUAAGGUGGGAAUUGCUUUGGAUACUGUCGGGCUUGAGUGCAGGAGAGGUUAGUGGAAUUCCCAGUGUAGCGGUGAAAUGCGUAGAGAUUGGGAGGAACACCAGUGGCGAAGGCGACUAACUGGACUGUAACUGACGCUGAGGCGCGAAAGUGUGGGGAGCAAACAGGAUUAGAUACCCUGGUAGUCCACACUGUAAACGAUGAAUGCUAGGUGUAGGGGGUAUCGACCCCUUCUGUGCCGCAGUCAACACAAUAAGCAUUCCGCCUGGGGAGUACGGCCGCAAGGUUGAAACUCAAAGGAAUUGACGGGGGCCCGCACAAGCAGCGGAGCAUGUGGUUUAAUUCGACGCAACGCGAAGAACCUUACCAGGUCUUGACAUCCACUUAAACUUACAGAGAUGUAAGGUGUGCUUGCACAAAGCGAGACAGGUGGUGCAUGGUUGUCGUCAGCUCGUGUCGUGAGAUGUUGGGUUAAGUCCCGCAACGAGCGCAACCCUUAUCUUCAGUUACUAACGCGUGAGGGUGAGGACUCUGAAGAGACUGCCGGGGACAACUCGGAGGAAGGUGGGGACGACGUCAAAUCAUCAUGCCCCUUAUGACCUGGGCUACACACGUGCUACAAUGGCCACGACAGAGAGAAGCGAAAUCGCAAGGUAGAGCGGAACUCAAAAAAGUGGUCCCAGUUCGGAUUGUGGGCUGCAACCCGCCCACAUGAAGUCGGAGUUGCUAGUAAUCGCGGAUCAGCAUGCCGCGGUGAAUACGUUCCCGGGCCUUAUACACACCGCCCGUCACACCAUGGGAGUUGGGAGUGCCCAAAGCCGGUGAGGCAACCGCAAGGAGCCAGCCGUCUAAGGCAAGACCAAUGACUGGGGUGAAGUCGAAACAAGGUAGCCGUAUCGGGAGGUGCGGCUG
rnacentral:rRNA from 1 species